rnacentral:rRNA from 1 species
ACCGGCGCACGGGUGAGUAACACGUAUGCAACCUGUCCGGUACAGGGGGAUAAGCGGCGGAAACGCCGUCUAAUACCGCGUGACAACCCGAGGGGGCAUCCCCUUGGGUUCAAAGGAGAGAUCCGGUACCGGCUGGGCAUGCGGCGCAUUAGCUAGUUGGCGGGGCAACGGCCCACCAAGGCGACGAUGCGUAGGGGUUCUGAGAGGAAGGUCCCCCACACUGGAACUGAGACACGGUCCAGACUCCUACGGGAGGCAGCAGUGAGGAAUAUUGGUCAAUGGUCGGGAGACUGAACCAGCCAAGCCGCGUGAGGGAUGAAGGUACAGAGUAUCGUAAACCUCUUUUGUCAGGGAACAAAGGCGGGGACGUGUCCCCGGAUGAGUGUACCUGAAGAAAAAGCAUCGGCUAACUCCGUGCCAGCAGCCGCGGUAAUACGGAGGAUGCGAGCGUUAUCCGGAUUUAUUGGGUUUAAAGGGUGCGUAGGCGGAGUGUCAAGUCAGCGGUAAAAUUUCGGGGCUCAACCCCGUCGUGCCGUUGAAACUGACACCCUCGAGUGAGUGAGAAGUAAGCGGAAUGCGCGGUGUAGCGGUGAAAUGCAUAGAUAUCGCGCAGAACUCCGAUUGCGAAGGCAGCAUGCCGGCUCCACACUGACGCUNAGGCACGAAAGCGUGGUUAUCGAACAGGAUUAGAUACCCUGNUA